UUCGAAAAAUGGGAGAAAAAGAACAGAAAAGAAACAUCAAAAAGAGAAGAAAAAAAUCUCUUUUCUUCUGUUUCGUUGAGUCAACUCCCUCUCUUAGAAGAAUCUUCUUCUCUCUCUUCUCUCUCUUCUUCUUC
rnacentral:snoRNA from 13 species